CCUUACGGUAUUCCCUAGUAGCGGCGAGCGAAGCGGGAAGAGCUCAAAUUUAUAAUCUGGCACCUUCGGUGUCCGAGUUGUAAUCUCUAGAAAUGUUUUCCGCGUUGGACCGCACACAAGUCUGUUGGAAUACAGCGGCAUAGUGGUGAGACCCCCGUAUAUGGUGCGGACGCCCAGCGCUUUGUGAUACAUUUUCGAAGAGUCGAGUUGUUUGGGAAUGCAGCUCAAAUUGGGUGGUAAAUUCCAUCUAAAGCUAAAUAUUGGCGAGAGACCGAUAGCGAACAAGUACCGUGAGGGAAAGAUGAAAAGCACUUUGGAAAGAGAGUUAACAGUACGUGAAAUUGUUGGAAGGGAAACGCUUGAAGUCAGACUUGCUUGCCGAGCAAUCGGUUUGCAGGCCAGCAUCAGUUUUCCGGGAUGGAUAAUGGUAAAGAGAAGGUAGCAGUUUCGGCUGUGUUAUAGCUCUCUACUGGAUACAUCCUGGGGGACUGAGGAACGCAGUGUGCCUUUGGCGGGGGUUUCGACCUCUUCACACUUAGGAUGCUGGUGGAAUGGCUUUAAACGACCCGUCUUG
rnacentral:rRNA from 1 species